CUGCCAGAGGCGACCGCUUUUGGAGUUCGAUUAAGCCAUGCGAGUAGAAUGAAAUUAGAUUCAUUGCAAACUGCUCAGUAACACGUGGAUAACCUGCCCUAUGCUCUGGGAUAACCUCGGGAAACUGAGAAUAAUACCGGAUAGAUCACAACGCCUGGAACGGUGUGUGGUUGGAAGGUUACGGCAUAGGAUGGGUCUGCGGCGUAUCAGGUCGUAGGGGGUGUAAUGGACCCCCUAGCCAUCGACGCGUACGGGUGUUGGGAGACAUAGCCCGGAGACGGAUUCUGAGACACGAAUCCGGACCCUACGGGGUGCAGCAGGCGCGAAAACUUCACACUGCAGGAAACUGUGAUGAGGGAACUCUAAGUGGAUGCACAUAGUGUAUCUCUUUUCUUUACUAUUAAUCGGUAUUGGAAUAAGGGCUGGGAAAGACCGGUGCCA
rnacentral:rRNA from 1 species